UACGUAGGGUGCAAGCGUUAAUCGGAAUUACUGGGCGUAAAGCGUGCGCAGGCGGCUUUGCAAGACAGAUGUGAAAUCCCCCGGGCUUAACCUGGGAACUGCAUUUGUGACUGCAUGGCUGGAGUGCGGCAGAGGGGGGUGGAAUUCCGCGUGUAGCAGUGAAAUGCGUAGAGAUGCGGAGGAACACCGAUGGCGAAGGCAGCCCCCCUGGGUCGACACUGACGCUCAGGCACGAAAGCGUGGGGAGCAAACAGG
rnacentral:rRNA from 1 species